GUAAACUAUUGAAGCAUUCAUUGCAACUGGGUAAUCAGAAUUCGUGAGCUGAUAACAAGAACAGAACCAGACGAUCUUGGAGAUGGAAAAGGGAAAUAUGACGGACGUGAAUAAAAGGCGUCUGAAUGCACCCAACGGUCAGCGUGUGUUCAACGUUGUCAUUGCUGCCCUUGUUACGAUGACUGUUGUUAAUCAGGGAUAUAUGUUUUUUGAGAUGAAAGCGAAGAUUAAGUAUUACGACGCCACACUACAAGGCAUUCAGGCCCCUCAGCAUCUCAAGAAGCGGCAAGUAGAAGAAAGUGGUUCAGGUCCCUGUCCGAUUCAAUGU